CACCCUUUAUGUCUCACCUCUCCUUAGACAAUGCUGUGUGGGAACUGAGCUGGUGGACUGGAUGAUGCAGCAGACACCAUGUGUUCACUCCCGGACUCAAGCUGUUGGCAUGUGGCAAGUCCUGUUAGAAGAUGGUGUUCUCAACCACGGUAAGAUGAGCCCCAGUCCCUGGAAACCUCUCAAGAAAUGCUAAGUGCUGAAAGGAAAAUGAAAUUGCAGCCCGAGUGCAUCAGUUCCAAUUAUGUUUAUUAGUUUGCAUUCACGGUUCAUUGAUAGUGUGAUUAUACUCUGAGCAGUGCAUAGCAAUCCUGAUGCAGGGGCAGAAUGAAGAGCAGUGAAGUGUGUGGCUGGGCUGAUGACAUGAAAGUAAGUAAUGAAUU
rnacentral:lncRNA from 1 species